ACGCUGGCGGCGCGUUUUAAGCAUGCAAGUCGAGCGGCAAGGGCCUUCGGGCCCCUAGAGCGGCGGACGGGUGAGUAACACGUGGACAAUCUGCCCCCCGGUCCGGGAUAGCCUUGGGAAACCUGGGAUAUACCGGAUGCGAGCGGGGCCCCACAAGGGGCCCCGGGGAAAGGCGCUUCGGCGCCGCCGGGGGAUGAGUCCGCGGCCCAUUAGCUAGACGGCGGGGUAAAGGCCCACCGUGGCGAUGAUGGGUAGCCGGCCUGAGAGGGUGAUCGGCCACAUUGGAACUGAGACACGGUCCAGACUCCUACGGGAGGCAGCAGCUAAGGAUCUUCCGCAAUGGGCGAAAGCCUGACGGAGCGACGCCGCGUGAACGAUGAAGGCCGUGAGGUUGUAAAGUUCUUUUCGGGAGGGGGAAUAACCGUGGCAGGUAAUGGCCGCGGGAUGACGUGAAUCCCGGAAUAAGCCCCGGCUAACUACGUGCCAGCAGCCGCGGUAACACGUAGGGGGCGAGCGUUGUUCGGAAUCAUUGGGCGUAAAGGGCGUGCAGGCGGCCCUGCCAGUCUGGCGUGAAAGGCCCCGGCUCAACCGGGGAAACGCGCUGGAAACUGCAGGGCUUGAAUACAGGAGGGGAUGCCGGAAUUCCAGGUGUAGGGGUGAAAUCUGUAGAUAUCUGGAAGAACACCAAUGGCGAAGGCAGGCAUCUGGCCAUGUAUUGACGCUGAGACGCGAAGGUGCGGGGAGCAAACAGGUUUAGAUACCCUGGUAGUCCGCACAGUAAACGAUGUACACCAGGUGGCGGGGGGUUGACCCUCGGUACCGAAGCUAACGCAUUAAGUGUACCGCCUGGGGAGUAUGCUCGCAAGGGUGAAACUCAAAGGAAUUGACGGGGGCCCGCACUAGCGGUGGAGCAUGUGGUUUAAUUCGAUGGUACGCGAGAAACCUUACCAGGGCUUGACAUAUACCGGAAUAUGCCUGAAAGGGCAUAGCUGCUUGCAGCCGGUAUACAGGUGCUGCAUGGCUGUCG
rnacentral:rRNA from 1 species